rnacentral:lncRNA from 1 species
GGUACCCUCAUGGAUAAUCUCUAGCCUAUCCCAUAUUUUUUUGAUAGAAAUAUAAGUAGAAAUUUUAUUAAAUUUAUUAACAUUAAGAGAGCAAUAAAGAACAUUUAUGGCUUUAGUAUUUAACAAAACCAUUUUCUUAUCUAGGUCAUCUCAAUCCUUUUGAAGUUUGGGAGUGAGAAUACCAUCUAUCAUGAUGGUGGGUGUGUGUAGGCUAUUGAUUAUGACACUCCAAAGAUCAUAAUCUAAUGC